rnacentral:rRNA from 1 species
GGGACGAAGCGAGAGUGACGGUACCUGCAGAAGAAGCACCGGCCAACUACGUGCCAGCAGCCGCGGUAAUACGUAGGGUGCAAGCGUUGUCCGGAAUUAUUGGGCGUAAAGAGCUCGUAGGCGGUUCGUCGCGUCGGCUGUGAAAACCUGAGGCUCAACCUCAGGCCUGCAGUCGAUACGGGCGGACUUGAGUUCGGCAGGGGAGACUGGAAUUCCUGGUGUAGCGGUGAAAUGCGCAGAUAUCAGGAGGAACACCGGUGGCGAAGGCGGGUCUCUGGGCCGAAACUGACGCUGAGGAGCGAAAGCGUGGGGAGCGAACAGGAUUAGAUACCCUGGUAGUCCACGCCGUAAACGUUGGGCGCUAGGUGUGGGGCUCAUUCCACGAGUUCCGUGCCGCAGCUAACGCAUUAAGCGCCCCGCCUGGGGAGUACGGCCGCAAGGCUAAAACUCAAAGGAAUUGACGGGGGCCCGCACAAGCGGCGGAGCAUGCUGCUUAAUUCGAUGCAACGCGAAGAACCUUACCUAGGCUUGACAUGCACGGAAAUCCUCCAGAGAUGGGGGGUCCGUAAGGGCCGUGCACAGGUGGUGCAUGGUUGUCGUCAGCUCGUGUCGUGAGAUGU